UGGAUCACCUCCUAACAGGGAGACAAACAAUGAUUUUGAUGCCUGAGUAGUUUUAUUCUUAGGCCGAAAUCCUGUCACCUUAGGUCGAUCGGUACCUCAGCUUUGAAGUUAAGAGUGAACUGGAAACAGUGAACUGCUUAAUGGAGAUUUUUAGUUCCUAAACUUUGUCUAGGUCACACCCCAAAAGGGAUGAAACUCCUGGGCCAUUAGCUCAGGUGGUUAGAGCGCACCCCUGAUAAGGGUGAGGUCCCUGGUUCAAGUCCAGGAUGGCCCAUUCGGUGUUGGGGGUUUAGCUCAGUUGGUAGAGCGCCUGCUUUGCAAGCAGGAUGUCAGGAGUUCGAGUCUCCUAACCUCCACUGACCGAUCUCAAUCCUCAAUGUCCAGUCAUGGAGUUUUGAGUUCAGUUGGAGUGUGAUUUAGAUGUGUCCGCUAGAGGAACCCAGCUUCCUGUCAUUCCAGCGAUAGAGAAAAAUCUAUCGAUGGUUGAUAAGAUGCUGGGCUCGAAUCAAGUGAUCAAGUAAUUGAUAAUUUGAUUUGAAGUCUGGCAGAACCUUGACAACUGCAUAGGUGAGUCUGGAAAGAAUAAAGCAUCUCAUGGAUGAUGCGAUGACUCUUAAUGAUUAUCCGAAAGGGUGAUGAGGAGGAGUGAUUGCAAAUUCUAUCGAGCAAGAGCCGAGACUCCAUCACGUUCUUCUGAUUGUGUCGAGCAAAGAGGAGUUAGAUUUUUGAUUCAGCAAUGAAUCAGAGAGAAUCUGUUUCAACGACAGCAAGCGUGUUGGAGAUACAUUGGUCAAGCUACAAAGGGCUCACGGUGGAUACCUUGGCACACAGAGGCGAUGAAGG
rnacentral:tRNA from 1 species